rnacentral:rRNA from 1 species
GACGAACGCUGGCGGCGUGCCUAAUACAUGCAAGUGGGACGCAAGGGAACACACUGUGCUUGCACACCGUGUUUUCUUGAGUCGCGAACGGGUGAGUAACGCGUAGGUAACCUGCCUAUUAGCGGGGGAUAACUAUUGGAAACGAUAGCUAAUACCGCAUAAUAUUAAUUAUUGCAUGAUAAUUGAUUGAAAGAUGCAAGCGCAUCACUAGUAGAUGGACCUGCGUUGUAUUAGCUAGUUGGUAAGGUAAGAGCUUACCAAGGCGACGAUACAUAGCCGACCUGAGAGGGUGAUCGGCCACACUGGGACUGAGACACGGCCCAGACUCCUACGGGAGGCAGCAGUAGGGAAUCUUCGGCAAUGGACGAAAGUCUGACCGAGCAACGCCGCGUGAGUGAAGAAGGUUCUCGGAUCGUAAAGCUCUGUUGUAAGUCAAGAACGUGUGUGAGAGUGGAAAGUUCACACAGUGACGGAGCUACCAGAAAG